ACUGUUUUGAGAUCUUUGCCUCCCUCAGGCUCCCGAGAAUCAUGCCUCAUUCCAAGCAGCCUAGUCACUUCCAGAGUCUGAUGCUUCUGCAGUGGCCUUUGAGCUACCUUGCCAUCUUUUGGAUCUUGCAGCCAUUGUUCAUCUACCUGCUGUUUACAUCCUUGUGGCCGCUACCAGCGCUUUACUUUGCCUGGUUGUUCCUGGACUGGAAAACCCCAGAGCGAGGUGGCAGGCGUUCGGCCUGGGUGAGGAACUGGUGUGUCUGGACCCACAUCAAGGACUAUUUCCCCAUUACAAUCCUGAAGACAAAGGACCUGUCACCUGAGCACAACUACCUCAUGGGGGUUCACCCCCAUGGCCUCCUGACCUUUGGCGCCUUCUGCAACUUCUGCACUGAGGCCACAGGCUUCUCGAAGACCUUCCCAGGCAUCACUCCUCACUUGGCCACGCUGUCCUGGUUCUUCAAGAUCCCCUUUCUUAGGGAGUACCUUAUGGCCAAAGGUGCUUCUGACCAUACUUACUGGAGCUUCUGGUCCAUGUUUCUGCUUGGAAAUGCACCCUUUUAAAUCC
rnacentral:sRNA from 1 species